rnacentral:rRNA from 1 species
UACGUAGGGCGCAAGCGUUGUCCGGAAUCAUUGGGCGUAAAGAGCUCGUAGGCGGUUUGUCGCGUCUGCUGUGAAAACUGGAGGCUCAACCUCCAGCCUGCAGUGGGUACGGGCAGACUAGAGUGCGGUAGGGGAGACUGGAAUUCCUGGUGUAGCGGUGAAAUGCUUAGAUAUCGUCAAAGAACACCUAUAGCGAAGGCAGCUUACUAGGCUGUAAACUGA